GGAUUGUGGCUCAGCGGUAGAGCGCUCGCCUAGCACGGGCAGGACCUGAGUUUGAUUCUCAGCACCA
rnacentral:tRNA from 1 species